CAGAACCAUUCUCCCCCGCAUACCUCUGCCUGCGCCCUGCGAGUCUUCCCUCGCUUCCAUUCCUCAUUCUGUUCUCCGAGAGAUCUCGUUCUCCGAUGAUCGCCGGUUCUUCGCCGCCGGUCAUCACAUCCCACCUCGGCAGUUCCCAGUUCCCACCACCAGAUCGCCACGAUGCAACCGGAGCCACCUACGCCAUCCGGAGGCACGACGCCCCUCCGCCCGCGCGCCGACAUCACGAAGGGCCUCCCUCGCCACGACGCCGUGCUGUACUGCCCGUCGUGCUGGGCCUACCGCCAACCCCCGGCGUCCUGGGUCCGCCGCGAGCCGCGGUCCUGGAUGAGCACUACGCCGGGUACGGCUAACGACGUAGCAAGAAUCCACCUCGACCGCGUGCGCCGCCACAUCGCCGGCCUCGGUCUCACGAUCGCCGCCGCGAGGUCCUUCUCCACCACGGCCUGCCCCAGGCGCUUCUACCUACACCUCCGCCUUCGCCGCGGGCACGAGGCGGGAACGGAGCCGCAGGCGCACGUCGUCGAGCUCACCUCGCACGACCGCCUCUGUGACGCCUGCAGCCGGUCCCAGGCCGACCCGGACCGAUGGCCCGCCGUCGUGCAGGUGCGCCAGCGCGCGUCAACGUCGUCGUCGUGCCGCCGCACGCUCAACCACGUCAUGUCGCUGCUCGUCUGCUACCGCGGCAACGACUCGCUCCUCCGCGUGGACUGGGACGCGGGCGCCGGGGUCCUCGACGUGCACGUCGUGUCGCGCGCCCACGCCGCCCGCUUCGUCCGCUUCGUCUCGACCGUCGCGCCCGCCCGCGUCGUCGGCACGGCGCGGAGGCUCGUCUCGCGCGACGGCGAGGGCAGCCCCUACAGAUUGCACUUCAUCUCCGUGGACAUCUGCCCGGUCUGCGAGGAUGACCUCGUCCUCCUGCACGCGGAGGCGUCCCGCGCCCUCGGCCGCCUGGGGCCCCUCGUCCUGUGCAUCAAGGUCACCAGCUCGCUCGCGCUGCUCGACACCGGCAACAUGCGCGUCGUGGUGGUAGGCGUCGAGGCGUGCGAGCGGUUCAGGAUCCAGCCCUUGCUCGACCGCGGCCGCCUCGUCGAGUACGUCGUGCUUGGCGUGCAACACGACCCGUCCGGCCACGUCGCGGCGCUCGGUGCGAGCUUCAUGAUGUCGUGGGCGCAGGUCGUCCGCUCGUCGGACGUGGGCAAGAAGGACGCCGCCGUCAUCACCGUGAAGACGCACCUCGGCUACGACCUGGAGCCUGGGUGCCACGCGCUCGGCUACGACCUCUCCGGAGACGACGUCUUCGGCCAUGGCUUGGAGAAGUAUGGGAAGAGACACACGUUGCCAGCUGCGGUGCUUACUCGGAGGUACUACGACGAUGACGAGGACUGGGAGGAGAGCGCAGGCGGGAUGCAGGACGGCAGGGAGGGACGUCGCGGCGGCGGCGGGAUUGAAGAGGUUACCACGGGUAUUGGAUGCAUGGACCUGAACCCGGCCGACGACAAGAACACCACAGUACCAUGACACCAUUCCAUCGGCUAUGAGUAGCGAGUAAGCGACAAGUGUUUCAUGUAGUACCACCAACAUUAAUCCACGGCUGUUGUUGACUCUUAUUCUAAUGAAUCAUAAGCCAUGCAUUAGAUGACUCUAGUCAUACCUUAGUCUAAAAAUCUAUCACUGGAGUUAUACAUGUAGCAGUGCUCAUGAGUAGAUAGCGAGUUG
rnacentral:misc_RNA from 1 species